UCAACUUGAGAGUUUGAUCCUGGCUCAGAACGAACGCUGGCGGCAGGCCUAACACAUGCAAGUCGAGCGGGACCUUCGGGUCUAGCGGCGGACGGGUGAGUAACGCGUGGGAAUAUGCCCUUCUCUACGGAAUAGCCUCGGGAAACUGGGAGUAAUACCGUAUACGCCCUUUGGGGGAAAGAUUUAUCGGAGAAGGAUUAGCCCGCGUUGGAUUAGGUAGUUGGUGGGGUAAUGGCCUACCAAGCCU
rnacentral:rRNA from 1 species